UGAGAGAAUGGGUAAUCCAAGAAAG
rnacentral:piRNA from 1 species